rnacentral:ncRNA from 1 species
AUAAAGUUUUAUUCUUGCUUAAGAAUUUAUUAUAAAUAUAUUUUACAUGUAAAUUUUUGUGUGAUCUAAUAAUUUUUCUAAAAGAAAUGUUAUUAUUUUUUUUUCAUUCACAGUAUUUGAUUUUAAUUUUUAAAAAAAUUUAGAAUUAGUGAUAUUUUAUAGUAUUGGUAAAUAUCGUGCCAGCUACCGCGGUUAUACGAAAGAUACAAAUAAAUUUUAUUAGAUAAUAGUUAAUCAUUUAUAAUAAAAAUUAUAUUAUAAAUUAUUAAGUGAAAUUUUAUUUUAUUAAAUAUUUUUAUAAAUUAGAUGAAGCUAUGAAAUUUAAAUGCAAAACUAGGAUUAGAUACCCUAUUAUUCUAUAAGUAAAUAAAAUUUCUGGAGUAGUAAUAGUUAUAAUCUUGAAACUUAAAGAAUUUGGCGGUGUUUUAGUCUUUUCAGAGGAACCUGUUCCGUAAUCGAUAAUCCACGUUUAACCUUACUUAAAUUAAUAAUAUGUAUACCGUCGUCAUCAGAAUGUCUUAAAAGAGGAUUUAAUUUUCUUAAUAUAUAAUUAUAUUUUAUGUCAGAUCAAGGUGCAGUUUAUAUUUAAGUGGAAAUGGGUUACAUUAAUUAAAUUUAUAUGAAUUAAAAAUUGAAAAAUUUUUAUGAAAGUGGAUUUGAUAGUAAAUAAAUAAAUAUAAUUUUAUUGAUUUUAGCUCUAAAACAUGCACACAUCGCCCGUCGCUCUCGUUAUUUAAAAUGAGAUAAGUCGUAACAUAGUAGUCGUACCGGAAGGUGUGUCUAGAAAGA